GAUGAAGAACGUAGCGAAAUGCGAUAAGUAAUGUGAAUUGCAGAAUUCAGUGAAUCAUCGAGUCUUUGAACGCACAUUGCGCCCCCUGGUAUUCCGGGGGGCAUGCCUGUCCGAGCGUCAUUGCUGCCCUCAAGCCCGGCUUGUGUGUUGGGCCUCGUCCCCCCUCCGGGGGACGGGCCCGAAAGGCAGCGGCGGCACCGUGUCCGGUCCUCGAGCGUAUGGGGCUUUGUCACCCGCUCUGUAGGCCCGGCCGGCGCCUUAGCCGACGACACAAUCUUUUUUUUCAGGUUGACCUCGGAUCAGGUAGGGAUACCCGCUGAACUUAAGCAUAUCAAUAAGCGGAGGA
rnacentral:misc_RNA from 1 species